GGUGUAGGUGGCUUUUCAAGUCGAGUGUAAAAUCUCCCGGCUCAACUGGGAGGGACCAUUCGAUACUGUUGGGCUAGAGUGCAGCAGAGGAAGGUAGAAUUCCCGGUGUAGUGGUGGAAUGCGUAGAUAUCGGGAGGAAUACCAGUGGCGAAGGCGGCCUUCUGGGCUGUUACUGACGCUGAGACCCAUAAGCGUGGGGAGCAAACA
rnacentral:rRNA from 1 species